GGCUAAAGACGCUUGGACACGUGUCAAACGAUGCUAUCAUCAACCUUAAGAUUUUUUUAACACUAUUUUGAAAAUGGUUGAAGGUGAGGCCAUCCCUAGUGAACGAGUGAGCCAAACCCUCGCGCCUAGCGUCGUAGAAGGGUGCCAAUGCUGGUGGGAUUUUCCUAAAUAUUUUUAAUUUAUUUUUGAUAGGCGAUGAUGGAUUAGAUCCUAAGAACUAUUUCGGGAUUUUUUAACGUCUUGUUUGUAUGUAUUAAUGUGUGUGUGUGUGUGUGUGUGUGUUUAUAUACAGAGGAAUGAUGCAUGUGUUUGAUGAAAUUUCUCUGAAAUAAUUUACUUAACCUUGUUUUUUUGAGAACUCGUGCACGCACAUAUAUUUCUUUUCAACUGAGUUAUUGAUAUACAAUAUACACUUCAUGACUUCUCUUAGAUUCUCAGAGUUUGGGAACCCCCAUUUCUGAUAAGUCAGUUAUUGGACAUCCAAAACACGACACUACUUGGAUGGCUCUAUUAAUUAGUUAAACAUUAUGACAUCCAAGGGAUAUCCCUAAAAUCAUUUGCUUCAGGAAAAGGCAUUGCAGAUAUUUAUCUUUAGUGGCUUUAGUUGUUAUUUGACCGGAUCAAUCUUAUGUUUCUCUAUCCCUUGCUCAGUUGGUUUAUUCCCCUGCCUUCCUUUUUAUAUUACUUUAUGUUGUGAUUUGUUGUUCUGUAAGGGAGAAUGUAGGUGGGAUCAUUUUACUGUAUUUCAAGAUAAUUAUGGCUAUCAGUUUCUGGUUAAUCCCUCAUUGUUCUCUGUUCUCACAUGCUUGCAGAGUCAACCCCUUGGUGGUGGCUUUAUAUGUAGCUCUACAUGCGGCUGUUCCAUUUUUAAUGUUUGUGUUAUUGCCCAUUUCCGCUUUUUGUCAGUUAUUACUUUGACAUGUGUCAUUCCCGAUUCGUGUUUAAUGUGUGUGCACAUUAUAUUGUAUUUUCACAUGCAUGCUCUGAUCAUAAUAAUUUUCAGGAUCUGGACACAAUUUCAGAAUUGAAGGUUUAGGAUAAAAAGCCAUUGCUUGAGUGAUUUGCUUCAAUAAAUAGUACGCCUAAUAUUUUUCUAUUUCAUUUAAUGAUCCUUUCAUUACACACCCAUUCAACAUGUUUAAGUCAAGCUCCUUUGAGUGCUCCUAGAUUUCUUGUAAUUUCUUUUCCUUCUUUUUUUUGUUUUUAAUUUUCGGGAUUGAUUGGUUGGAGGCAUCAACAAAAUGAGAAAUUGAAUCAAAAGGCAACAACAUUUAGUCUACCCUUAAAAGAUCCUUUGCAGUGUUUUUAACAUUCAGCUAUUGGUGACCAAUGGCUCCUAAUCGUAGUAUUGUGAUCAUAUUGUUGACGUUAUAAGGAAAAUAUGAUAAGUUCACAAAUUUGGUCUCUGGUGGUUUGACAUCUUCAUAGGUGCUGAGCUAUUUCUGGAAAGAUGGCCAUAUAAUUAGAGAAAGAAGAAAGAUGGAAAAGUAGUGAAGGAAGCUCAUGAAAGGCUCAACGUAUGUUUUGGAUGAUAUUUCUCUGCUUCAUGGACUUCAAUUUUACUGGUUGAAAUCUAAAAAAUUGCUCUAGCAGCUUGUUAUGAUCUCUUGAAUGUGAUAUCAUCACUUGUACACUUUUUGGUGGAGAUGGAGUGCAUCUAAAUCUUUGGGAAAAUUUUCAAAGUCAAAGCCUAAAGAUGAAGAUAAGGCCUUGGACGAGGAAGAAGACGAGGAACAUGGUGAGACUCUUUGUGGUGCUUGUGGAGAAGUGGUUCCAUGGUAUGUGAUUGAAGAUUGCACCAGCUAGAGCCAAGCAUAUCAAGCAGUACAAGUGUCCGUCGUGCAGUAACAAGAGGGCUCGUGCUUGAUGUGGAAUAUGAAUCAUACUAUCUGUACUCUUGAUAAAGUUCUCAUGUCUUGGUUGCUGAAGUCAUUUUUUGUUUGGUGCUACAAGUAAAAUUAACCUCGUAAAUGGUACUCUUGUUUAUAUACCGACUACUAAUACUCGAAAUAUGUGCAAUAUAGUUUUACUUC